UGAGACCUCAGGUCAGGC
rnacentral:rRNA from 1 species